UGCAAGUCGAGCGGGCGUAGCAAUACGUCAGCGGCAGACGGGUGAGUAACGCGUGGGAACAUACCUUUUGGUUCGGAACAACACAGGGAAACUUGUGCUAAUACCGGAUAAGCCCUUACGGGGAAAGAUUUAUCGCCGAAAGAUUGGCCCGCGUCUGAUUAGCUAGUUGGUGAGGUAACGGCUCACCAAGGCGACGAUCAGUAGCUGGUCUGAGAGGAUGGUCAGCCACAUUGGGACUGAGACACGGCCCAAACUCCUACGGGAGGCAGCAGUGGGGAAUAUUGGACAAUGGGCGCAAGCCUGAUCCAGCCAUGCCGCGUGAGUGAUGAAGGCCCUAGGGUUGUAAAGCUCUUUUGUGCGGGAAGAUAAUGACGGUACCGCAAGAAUAAGCCCCGGCUAACUUCGUGCCAGCAGCCGCGGUAAUACGAAGGGGGCUAGCGUUGCUCGGAAUCACUGGGCGUAAAGGGUGCGUAGGCGGGUCUUUAAGUCAGGGGUGAAAUCCUGGAGCUCAACUCCAGAACUGCCUUUGAUACUGAGGAUCUUGAGUUCGGGAGAGGUGAGUGGAACUGCGAGUGUAGAGGUGAAAUUCGUAGAUAUUCGCAAGAACACCAGUGGCGAAGGCGGCUCACUGGCCCGAUACUGACGCUGAGGCACGAAAGCGUGGGGAGCAAACAGGAUUAGAUACCCUGGUAGUCCACGCCGUAAACGAU
rnacentral:rRNA from 1 species